rnacentral:rRNA from 1 species
CGUGGGUAACCUGCCUUAUAGUGGGGGAGUAGCCUUUCGAAAGGAAGAUUAAUACCGCAUAAGAUUGUAGUGUCGCAUGAUAUAGCAAUUAAAGGAGCAAUUCGCUAUAAGAUGGACCCGCGUCGCAUUAGCUAGUUGGUGAGGUAAUGGCUCACCAAGGCGACGAUGCGUAGCCGACCUGAGAGGGUGAUCGGCCACAUUGGGACUGAGACACGGCCCAGACUCCUACGGGAGGCAGCAUG